rnacentral:tRNA from 2 species
GUGGCUGUAGCUCAAUGGUUAGAGUCCUGGCUUGUGAAGCCAGUUGUUGCGGGUUCGAGUCCCGUCAGCCACC